GCCAGGUGUGGUGGUGUGCACCUGUGGUCCCAGUUACUUGGGAGGCUGAGGCUGGAGGAUUGCUUGAGCCCAGGAAGUUAAGGCUGCAGUGAGCCGAGAUCACACCACUGCACUCCAGCCUGGGUGACAGAGCAAGACCCUGUCUCUU
ensembl:misc_RNA Metazoa_SRP Metazoan signal recognition particle RNA